rnacentral:lncRNA from 1 species
UUUCUUCUUCACUGCAUCUUCUUCUUCUCUCUUUUUCUUCUUUCUUGUAUCUUCAUCAUCCAUUAAAUUAUCAUGGGGGUUCUGUUCUUCAACAUCCCCCUCCCCCCCCUCUCAAGGUGAAAGGGAGAGAAUGGAACCCUAUCUUGCACAAAAUACUCCGAUGAGAACCCCCAGAUAAGGGUUUGGUAAAUAAAUCGGCAAGCUGAGAAUCCGAUGGAACAAAAGAAAGAGAUAUCAAGCCAGAGAGAAAUUGUUGACGAACAAAUUGGCAGUCCAGUUCCACAUGUUUGGUGCGUUCAUGAAAGACGAGGUUUUGAGCUAUAUGAAUCGCGGCUUGGCUAUUAGAGUAAAUAGGCACGGGUAAAGUAGGUUGGAUUGUGAGAUCUCCCAAAAGGCAAACAAGCUAAGUGAAUUAUGCAGUUACUCGACGCAUUGAAUGAUAUUCGGCUUCGGCAGAUGACAAAGAAAUGGAGGCCUGUUUCUUGGACUUCCAGGAAAUAGAGUCACCCCCGAGGGUAAUGAAGAACUCAUUUACUGAUCGUCUAGAAUCGUGACAGGCUGCCCAAUCAGCAUCGCAAAAGGCCAUCAAAUCAAAAGAAGGGUGUGAAGAUAAUAGAAUUCCUUGUGAGGGAACUGUGCGAAGAUAUCUUAACACACGUUGAGCAGCAGAGAGAUGAGAAAGACAAGGUUUUUGCAUGUAUUGGCUCAAAGACAAAACAACAAAGGAGAGGUCGGGUAUGGUGUUCGUCAGAUAGUUAAGCUUACCAACUAAAUGGCGAUAAAGACUUGGGUCAUCCAAUGGUGGCCCCAAAUCUGCCUGAAGCUUAGUGGAAGGAUCAAGUGGUGAAGUAAUCCGAGCUCAUGAACAAUGGAACUCCUGCAGUAACUCAAAGGUAAAUUUCCUUUUGUUGACAAUGAACCCCUAUUUUUCUACGAGUAUUUUUAUGCCUAGGAAAUAGUGAAUAUCCCCUAAGUGUUUCACCUUAAAUUCUGAAUUGAGAAAAUCAGUAAUAUGUUCAAUCUCUGUUGCAUCAUCUCCUGUGAGUAGGAUAUCAUCUACAUAUACUGCUAGGAUAGAAACAAGACCUUCAUUCUCUUUGUAGAAAAGAGAAUAAUCAUUGAGUGAAGUAGAAUAGCCUUUAAAGCUCAAAGCACCUACAAGUCUGGCAUACCACUGUCUGGGUGCCUGUUUUAACCCAUAAAGAGAUUUCUUCAGUAGACAUACUUGAUUUGGUUUAGGCUGAAGAACACCCGCAGGGAAUUUCAUAUAAACCUCUUCCUGCAAUUCCCCAUGGAGGAAUGCAUUAUUCACAUCAAGUUGUGACACUCCCCAACCUUUCUUCACAGUGACAGUCAAAAGACAUCUUAUAGUUGUCAUUUUGACCACUGGUGAAAAGGUUUCAAAAUAGUCAAUUCCUUCCUUUUGAAUGUGCCCCCUGACUACUAGUCUAACUUUCAAUCUUUCCACAGUCCCAUUUGAGAAGUGCUUGACCUUGUACACCCAUUUACAGGGUAAAGCUUUCUUCCCUAUAUGUAAAUCUACCACAUCCAAAGUGUGGUUUAAUUGUAAAGCUGCAAUAUAUGCUUACAUAGCUGCUUUCCAUCCUGGGUGUAUGGAAGCUUGGGCAUAGUUGUUAGGUUCAAAUAUGGUAGAAAGUGAGUGAACAAGAUGUUGUUUUGUAGCAGAAAGAGCCCUAAAAAAGAAAACAUUAGGUGCAGUAGGCCGUGUGAAACAAGAACCAGUGAGAUCAGAAAGAAUAAUAGCAUUGCACACAUAAUCCUUCAAAUAAGUAGGUCUUUGAGAAAUUCUGUCAGAUUUCCUGAUAGGUGGUGGAGGUGUAGGAAUCACAUUUUUGGAUAUUGGUUGAACAGGUAAAUAGGAAGGAGUGUAGGACUCUUCUAAGAUUGGUGUAAGGUUAGUUUCAGGAUGAAGUGAAGAGCGUGGAACUCUGAGUGAGAUAGGGCUAGAAACAGGUAUAGAAGCUAUGUCUGAAAUAGAAGAAUGUGGUGACGAAUCUAGUAGUAGAUUGUGUGAAGGAGAGUCAGUACUAGGAACUGAAGAUGGGGUAUAGGUUGGUGGCAUAGCUGGUACGUGAGUAUGGUUAGUGGAAUUAGAAUAAGAAGUAAAGUAGGUGUUGGAAUGUGGUGAAUAAAAAGGGAAGAAAUCUUCAUGGAAUUUGAUGUCCUUGGAAACAAAUACUAUUUUUGUAUAUUUGUCCAUUACUUUGUAUCCCUUUUGACCUUGUGCAUAGCCUAAGAAGAUACAAGACUUAGCUCUUGGCUCAAACUUUCCUCUGUUUUAAGAUAGAGUUGAUACAUAGCAUAAACACUCAAAACUUGUUAGAACCUCAUAUGCAAGUUCCUUCCCAAACAAAAUUGCAUAAGGUGUCUUCCCUUUCAACAAUUUGGAAGGGAACUUGUUGAUUAAAAAUAUUGCAGUUAAAACAUAUUCUCCCCAAUAUUGAAGAGGAAUAUUGGACUGAAAUAGUAAUCCUAUUGCAAUUUCCAGAAGGUGUCUAUGUUUCUUCUCAACUAUCUUAUUCUGUUGAGGUAUAGCUACACAAGAUGUUUCAUGAAUAAUCCCUUGUUCUUGAAAGAAUUUAGAUUUUUGUGUUCCCUUUCCCAAUUCCCAAGCAUUGUCUAAUCUUACUCUUCUUGUUUUCUUGUUGAAUUGCCUCUCUACCAUGUAGAGAAAAGACUUCAGGACUAGAAAGGCAUUACUUUUGGUACUUAGUAAAAAGGUCCAAGUGGCCCUACUAAAAUUAUCAACUAUGGUCAAGAAGUAAUUGUAACUAUUGUAUGUAGUAGUCCUAAAAGGUCCUCAAGUAUCUAUAUGAAUGAGAUCAAAUGGAGAUGUUGUCCUGAUUUGGCUAAUGGGAAAAGGGAGCCUAGUUUGCCUUGACUUAGCACAAAUUUUACACAUAUCAUUAAAAUUUGAAGGAAAAUGAACAAAAUUGAAUUUCUUCAUUACUGAAAAAGGCAAAUGCCCCAACCCGACAUGUCAUUGAAUUACAUCUGAAAGAGCAUUAGCAAAGACUGGAAAUAAACGAGAAGCUUUACUAGGUACUAGACUGGAAUCAUUUCCUUUUGGAAUGGAAAUUACAUUUUGCCUGAAUUGAAUUCUAGACUCAAAACUUCUAGGCUGGAGUAGAUAUAAUUCAUCUCUUACUUCACCACAAACUUGUCCCCUCCUCAUUAAAAGGACCUGCAAUAAACAUUGACUAGAAGUAAGAUUGAUGAAGCAUUUGAAUUGAGUGCAUAACUUAUGAACAGAUAACAAGUUAUACUUAAAAAAUGAAACAUAUAGCACCCUUUAUAAAACUAUAUCAGGCUAAAUGCAAACCUGUCCUAUGUGUGUGACAAAGAGCUAAAAAGAGUUAGGCAAACUUAUAUGUAGAGGCACAUGCAAAGGUGACAAAGUUAGGAAAGAUUUGGAAUCAAAACACAUGUUCUGAGGCACCCGAAUCAAUAAUCCAGGUUUUAGUAUUAAAAACAACAAGACAUGUCCUUGAAUAUUUAAGAAUAAUACCAGCAACAACAUUGGCACUAAUCUAUGAGUUUGCACUUCCUAUACUUCCAACUUGCACCUGUUUGAUUAAGUUUACUACUUCAGAAACCUGUUCUUUACUGAAAAACUGUGUCAGAUUGUUUGAAUGUCCUCCAUUGUUUUCAUCACCCUGCUGAUAUGCUAUUGUAACAUUUACUUUUAUUGUUUCUUGAAAGUUUCCGCUCUUGUUAAACUGAGAUUCAUUAGGGAAUCCUAUAAGUCUAUAGCAAUCAGCCCUUACAUGUCUUAUUUUUUAGCAAUGACCGCAACUAACAUUAGGAUUGAAUUUGAACUUCCUUGGAUUGGAUUUAUACUGUGUGUUAGCUGACUUUUAUUGAGGAUUCCACCCUUUUUGUGCUUGGUUAUUUUUUUUUGUGAAAACUUGUUCUAUGUGCAUACCAUGAAAGAAGCCCCAUUAGUAGAAUACUGUGGGCUCAUGUAGAUCUCCCUUUGGCUCUCAUCUUGUAGCAACAAUGAGUAAGUUUGAUCCAUGCUAGAGGUAGGACAAAGCACGAGUAUGUUUCCCCUUGCUUGUACAUAAGCACUAUUCAGCCCCAUUAUGAAUUAAAUGACCCCUUCGAUCUUCCAUGAAUUUAGCCAUCUUCUUUUUACCAUCACAGUUACAUGCACAAGUGCACCCUAAGUGUGAAUUAAGGGAGUCCAACUCAUCCCAUAGUCUCUUAAGAGUGGUGAAAUAACCUGAUAUGUUGUUGUUUUCUUGGAUUGUCUUUGAAAUUUCCUUCUGCAUAUGGUACAACUUGGCUCCACUUGACUGACCAAAUAUAUGUUCUAGGCUGCUCCAAAGGUCCUUAGUUGUUCUUGAGUAAAGUGACAUUGUCACCUAUCUCUUUUGUCAAAGAGUUCAGCAACCAGGAGGUGACCAUGUCAUUGCAUCUACUCCACAAUGGAUAAUCCUUGUCAUCCAUUGCUGGUUCAACAUAAGAUCCAUUGAUAAAACCAAGUUUAUUCUUGGCUGAGAUUGCAAUGAGGACAUAUAUUUUCAUCCUAGAAAUCCUCUUCCAUCAAAUGGUGAGCUUACCAAAGCCAUCCCUGGAGUAUCAGAAUAGUGUAAGUGAAUAGGGUGAUUGGAAUCAUUGGUUACUCCACUACUUGUUGAUCCAGAGACAAUAAUAUCAGUUGCAGCUUCUGUACCAUGCAUGAUUUGACGUACAGAUGAAGAUAGAGCUGAUUUGGGAAAGUUGACAGAGAUUUGAGAAAAUUUGUGAAUGGAUCGAGCUAAAUCCGCUCUGAUACUAUGAAAGAAAGACUGAGAUUUGUGAAAAUU